GUCCCAGCCGUAAACGAUGGACACUAGGUGGAGGAGGGCUUGCCCAUCUCUGCCGCAGCAAACGCGUUAAGUGUCCCGCCUGGGGAGUACGGCCGCAAGGUUAAAACUCAAAGGAAUUGACGGGGGCUCGCACAAGCGGUGGAGCAUGUGGUUCAAUUCGAUGCAACGCGAAGAACCUUACCCGGGCUUGAAGUGGAGGUAGUAGGAACCGGAAACGGUAACGACCCCGCAAGGGGAGCCUUCAUCAGGUGUUGCAUGGCUGUCGU
rnacentral:rRNA from 1 species